CCAAUAGCGUAUAUUAAAGUUGCUGCAGUUAAAAAGCUCGUAGUUGAAUUUCGGGAUCAAUAUGUUGGUCGUGCCUCGGUACGUACUAGCUUAUUGGUUUCUCCCUUCUGACGAACCAUGAUGUCAUUUAUUUGGUGUUAUGGGAAAUCAGGACUGUUACUUUGAAAAAAUUAGAGUGUUUAAAGCAGGCUCACGCUUGAAUACAUUAGCAUGGAAUAAUGAAAUAGGACGUUUGAUUCUAUUUUGUUGGUUUCUAGGAUCGACGUAAUGAUUAAUAGGGU
rnacentral:rRNA from 1 species